UAUAAACGGGUAUGUUUAUGACAUUCAGUAUAUAUUUCAUAAUUUCCAGUCUUAAAUCCGUCUGACCGUGUAGCUCAGUAGGUAGAGAGUCGAUCUAGUAAUUCGAAGGUCGCGAGUUCGAGACCCAGCCGCGGCAGACAACAUCUUUCUGCUCGCGCUGGGUAUGGAAAUUAUAUAAUACACUCUCUAGAACAUUUUCAUCUUAACAUGUUACAGAGUGUACAAUUACACAA
rnacentral:lncRNA from 1 species